ACGGGAGGCAGCAGUGGGGAGUAUUGCACAAUGGGGGGAACCCUGAUGCAGCGACGCCGCGUGAGUGAAGAAGUUAUUCGUAAUGUAAAGCUCUAUCAGCAGGGAAGAAAAUGACGGUACCUGACUAAGAAGCCCCGGCUAACUACGUGCCAGCAGCCGCGGUAAUACGUCGGGGGCAAGCGUUAUCCGGAUUUACUGGGUGUAAAGGGAGCGUAGACGGCUUAGCAAGUCUGAUGUGAAAGGCAGGGGCUCAACUCCUGGACUGCAUUGGAAACUGUUAAGCUGGAGUGCCGGAGAGGUAAGCGGAAUUCCUAGUGUAGCGGUGAAAUGCGUAGAUAUUAGGAGGAACACCAGUGGCGAAGGCGGCUUACUGGACGGUAACUGACGUUGAGGCUCGAAAGCGUGGGGAGCAAACAGGAUUAGAUACCCUGGUA
rnacentral:rRNA from 1 species